UUCUGUUCACCACAGUAGCAAGAGUUAUCCUUUUGAGAUAAGUUAGGCCAUCACUUUUUGCUCAUAGCCUUUGACUGGAUUUACACCUCACUCCGUAGUCAACAAGGCUCUCUCUCCUUUGCUUCUACUUCUGGGACUUGGUUGGAUCUAUCAUUCCCCCUUGCACAUUCAUUCAAACCAUGUUGGCUUCCCUUCUGUCCUCGGUGCACCAGACACAGUACUUCUGCUCUCUCUGGGACUACUCGACAAAUGACAUUUCCUGACCUCCUUUGCCAUCUGGUUCCAGCCUGAGUUUGGCAGAUGAGAGAUGGGACCUGAGGGUAAAAGUUUAAUUUUCAGACCAGCCAGGGACCCAAAGAGGAUUGAGGAAAACUUUUUCCUGCCCUACAGUUUGAAUUUGGAUUAUAAUUUCAAAAUAUAUAAAAUAUCGGUAACAUUCAGCAUUUUCACAAGAUAAUUUAGUCAUAUCCUGAGUACUCAUCUGGGUGAAUUAGAGGGAAGAAAAGAUACAAAAGGAGAUUGGAGCUUGAUUUGACUUAAGCUUGGAGGCACUUCAUCCCAUCUGCAGCCUCGCUAUUGAAGAGAAAAAUCAUUACCAACAUCUCACAGUGUUGAGAUGUUACAAGAAUUAUAGGAAAGGUCUAGUCCCUUUGUGCUGCCAUAUAUUUACAACAUCUAGUUGGUUAGCCUUAGACAAUUCAAGUCCAUUUUUUCCAGAUUUUAGUAAUAUAUUGAAAAGUUUUUUGACAUUUUAUAAUUUGGAUCUCUAAGCAUUUACUCAUUAGCAUUAGCUGAUUUAAAACAUUGUGACUGGCUCUUGGUUUUCUCAAAAGUACUCUUUUCGGCAUUUCUUAAAAGGCAAUGUGUUGAUAACUUGUAAUUUAGCACAUGUUUAUUGAAGGCUUCCUUGGUGGAGGCGUUGGUAUCAACUGCUGGAUGCUUGAUUUUUGCUUGAUAUUUUAUUAUAAUUGAACUAUGUAAGUGCUACUAAUUUGAAAAGACAUUACUUAAAAGAAAAAUAGUUAAGGAGAGCAAGAGAGUAUAUGAUGCAUAACUGAAUUUGUAAAUGCUUACUAGUGCUGCCCAGGUCAGACUGAAAAGGAGCAGUCCCAAACAGAUAAUUUGCAUCUUUGAGAAUCUCUGUAAAAAGACAAUAAUAUUUUACCCUAAAGCAUU